GUAGGUGAACCUGCGGAAGGAUCAUUAUUGAAUUCCUUCUGAGAAGGGUUGUUGCUGGCCUUCACAGGCAUGUGCACGCCCCGAUCGAAACUUCAUACACCUGUGCACAUCUGUAGGGAGGGGGUCAAACCCUUCCCUAUGUUUUACAUACCCCUUUAAAGUCUUAGAAUGUCAAUAAUAGCUCGUCGUAAAAAAGCGAGUGAAAAUAAAAAAUACAACUUUCAACAACGGAUCUCUUGGCUCUC
rnacentral:misc_RNA from 1 species